rnacentral:misc_RNA from 1 species
GGACACCGUCGCCGCUCUCUUUUUCCUUUUACGUUCCUUCGUUCAAGCUGUGUCCCCGCUGCGCGGGUAUGGGUGCGUGUGCUCUCUGGCGGUGACAUACACGAUGGAGUCGUAUGAGACGGACGCCAGCCUCGAGCAGCUGCCGAAGGGCGUUGAGUUCCCUGAGCUGGUGCUUCGCUGCACUGUUGUGGCCGCGAUUCCUCUUCGCAUAUGCGAGUUUGGGGACGACAAGGUGUUCACCGUAGUUGGCUCUGUCGCUCCGUGCACGCCAGGCGCUUGCGCCGCCACCAAGAUGAGGCUUCUGCGUAUUAACUUCUACAACUCGUGGGGGGCUGCCGCAGCCUUCAUGGACCCCGGUGACGUCAUCCUGCUGCGAGGGUUUUGUCUGUUGGAUGUACCGCCCCACACGAGCGGCGGCGGAGCCGCAAGGUCAGCGUCGGAGCCCCAGUUGCUAUUUGUGCGUCCGCUGCCGAGCAAGAGCACGCUGCGUGUGCUGCAGAAGGGCGGGAAGGAGCUCGUGAUGGAGGUGGCUGUCAGCCCAGAGAACUGGGACGCCAUCAGCAUGCGGAGUCUGCCUAAGUCGGACGCAGAAAACCAGAGGUACGCGCGCACAUGUUGGGGCUUGGAAGAGCUGUCCUGUUGAAAGGAUUCACUGUAUACGCGAGCCCAACGCAUGUGCUCUGCCUUUCUCCAGCCAACCAUGACAGGAGCAUUACACACGGGAGGGGGGACGCGCACCCUCGCCCGCUCAAGUGCGAAGAGACCGGGCGGGAAGGCGCCCUCACGAAUUCCUACUCCACCUCUCUCUCACCCACUUUUCGGCGAAUGCUACACCGCUGGCUGUGCGCUAUCGCCGACUUUACGCAG